GACGAACCGAGCGAACGUUGUUCGGAAUCACUGGGCUUAAAAGGGCGCGUAGGCGGGCUGCCGCGUCCGGGGUGAAAUGCCACGGCUCAACCGUGGAACGGCCUCGGAUACGGGCGGUCGUCGAGGGGGUAGGGGCAUCUGGAACUGUGGGUGGAGCGGUGAAAUGCGUUGAGAUCCACAGGAACUCCGGUGGCGAAGGCGAGGUGCUGGACCCCAUCUGACGCUGGAGGCGCGAAAGCCAGGGGAGGCAAACGGGA
rnacentral:rRNA from 1 species